AGGACGAACGCUGGCGGCGUGCCUAACACAUGCAAGUCGAACGAGGUCCAUCCGGUAGCAAUACUGGUGAAGAUCAAGUGGCGAACGGGUGAGUAGCACGUGAGCAACCUGCCCCGAAGACCGGGACAACACCGGGAAACCGGUGCUAAUACCGGAUAUCCCCACCGAGUCGCAUGGCUUGGUGAGGAAAUGGAUUCCGCUUCGGGAGGGGCUCGCGGCCUAUCAGCUUGUUGGUGAGGUAACGGCUCACCAAGGCUUCGACGGGUAGCUGGUCUGAGAGGACGAUCAGCCACACUGGGACUGAGACACGGCCCAGACUCCUACGGGAGGCAGCAGUGGGGAAUCUUGCACAAUGGGCGAAAGCCUGAUGCAGCAACGCCGCGUGAGGGACGAAGGCUUUCUGAGUUGUAAACCUCUUUCAGCAGGGACGAUUGUGACGGUACCUGCAGAAGAAGCCCGCAACUACGCGCCAGCAGCCGCGGUAA
rnacentral:rRNA from 1 species